rnacentral:tRNA from 1 species
AUUUAUAUAGUUUAAAUACAAAAACAUUAUAUUUUCAAUAUAAAAUUAAAAUUAUAUAAUUUUUAUAAAUA